rnacentral:lncRNA from 1 species
UGGGUUCACUAAGUUGUGUUGGUUCUACCUGCUAAAUUUCCUCAAGUUCAACCUUAGAGGUAUUAAUCCUUUCUCCAAAGAAUUUUUUUUUCAAAAAGACUACCCUAAGGCUGACAAAUAUCUUUUGUUCAUUAGCAAGAUAGAAAUAAUACCCUUUAGUUUCUUUGAGAUAUCCUAUAAAAAUUUAUUUGUCAGACCUAGC